GUAGCGGCGAGCGAAAUUGGACUAGCCCUUAAGCUUUACACGCGUUAGACGAACGGUCUGGAAAGUCCGACGAUACAGGGUGAUAGUCCCGUAGUUGACGACGUGUGUUCAGUGAAAUCGAGUAGGGCGGGACACGUGAUAUCCUGUCUGAAUAUGGGGGGACCAUCCUCCAAGGCUAAAUACUACUGACUGACCGAUAGUGAACCAGUACCGUGAGGGAAAGGCGAAAAGAACCCCUGUGAGGGGAGUGAAAUAGAACCUGAAACCGUGUACGUACAAGCAGUAGGAGCAGGCUUUGUCCUGUGACUGCGUACCUUUUGUAUAAUGGGUCAGCGACUUAUAUUCAGUGGCAAGGUUAACCAUCUAGGGGAGCCGUAGGGAAACCGAGUCUUAACUGGGCGUUCAGUCUCUGGAUAUAGACCCGAAACCAGGUGAUCUAGCCAUGGGCAGGUUGAAGGUUGAGUAACAUCAACUGGAGGACCGAACCGACUAAUGUUGAAAAAUUAGCGGAUGACUUGUGGCUAGGGGUGAAAGGCCAAUCAAACCUGGAGAUAGCUGGUUCUCCCCGAAAGCUAUUUAGGUAGCGCCUCGGACGAAUACUACUGGGGGUAGAGCACUGUUAAGGCUAGGGGGUCAUCCCGACUUACCAACCCUUUGCAAACUCCGAAUACCAGUAAGUACUAUCCGGGAGACACACGGCGGGUGCUAACGUCCGUCGUGGAGAGGGAAACAACCCAGACCGCCAGCUAAGGUCCCAAAUUACUACUAAGUGGGAAACGAUGUGGGAAGGCUCAGACAGCCAGGAUGUUGGCUUAGAAGCAGCCAUCAUUUAAAGAAAGCGUAAUAGCUCACUGGUCGAGUCGGCCUGCGCGGAAGAUGUAACGGGGCUAAGUAGUAAACCGAAGCUGCGGCAAUGUGCUUUUGCACAUUGGGUAGGGGAGCGUUCUGUAAGCGGUUGAAGGUGUGUGGUAACGCAUGCUGGACGUAUCAGAAGUGCGAAUGCUGACAUGAGUAACGAUAAAGGGGGUGAAAAACCUCCUCGCCGGAAGACCAAGGGUUCCUGUCCAACGUUAAUCGGGGCAGGGUAAGUCGACCCCUAAGGCGAGGCCGAAAGGCGUAGUCGAUGGGAAACGGGUUAAUAUUCCCGUACUUCUUACAAUUGCGAUGGGGGGACGGAGAAGGCUAGGUGGGCCUGGCGACGGUUGUCCAGGUUCAAGUGCGUAGGCUUAAGAGUUAGGUAAAUCCGGCUCUUUUUAAGGCUGAGACACGACGUCGAGCACCUACGGGUGUGAAGUCAUUGAUGCCAUGCUUCCAGGAAAAGCCUCUAAGCUUCAGAUUGUAAGGAAUCGUACCCCAAACCGACACAGGUGGUCGGGUAGAGAAUACCAAGGCGCUUGAGAGAACUCGGGUGAAGGAACUAGGCAAAAUGGUACCGUAACUUCGGGAGAAGGUACGCUCUCGACGGUGAAGUCCCUCGCGGAUGGAGCUAUUGAGAGUCGCAGAUACCAGGUGGCUGCAACUGUUUAUUAAAAACACAGCACUGUGCAAAAUCGUAAGAUGACGUAUACGGUGUGACGCCUGCCCGGUGCCGGAAGGUUAAUUGAUGGGGUUAGACUUCGGUCGAAGCUCUUGAUCGAAGCCCCGGUAAACGGCGGCCGUAACUAUAACGGUCCUAAGGUAGCGAAAUUCCUUGUCGGGUAAGUUCCGACCUGCACGAAUGGCGUAAUGAUGGCCACGCUGUCUCCACCCGAGACUCAGUGAAAUUGAAAUCGCUGUGAAGAUGCAGUGUACCCGCGGCUAGACGGAAAGACCCCGUGAACCUUUACUACAGCUUGGCACUGAACAUUGACCCUACAUGUGUAGGAUAGGUGGGAGGCUUUGAAGCACGUACGCCAGUAUGUGUGGAGCCGUCCUUGAAAUACCACCCUUGUAGUGUUGAUGUUCUAACGUCGACCCCUAAUCGGGGUUGCGGACAGUGCCUGGUGGGUAGUUUGACUGGGGCGGUCUCCUCCCAAAGAGUAACGGAGGAGCACGAAGGUGGGCUAAUCACGGUUGGACAUCGUGAGGUUAGUGCAAUGGCAUAAGCCCGCUUGACUGCGAGAAUGACAAUUCGAGCAGGUGCGAAAGCAGGUCAUAGUGAUCCGGUGGUUCUGAAUGGAAGGGCCAUCGCUCAACGGAUAAAAGGUACUCCGGGGAUAACAGGCUGAUACCGCCCAAGAGUUCAUAUCGACGGCGGUGUUUGGCACCUCGAUGUCGGCUCAUCACAUCCUGGGGCUGAAGUCGGUCCCAAGGGUAUGGCUGUUCGCCAUUUAAAGUGGUACGCGAGCUGGGUUUAGAACGUCGUGAGACAGUUCGGUCCCUAUCUGCCGUGGGCGUUGGAAGAUUGAAGGGGGCUGCUCCUAGUACGAGAGGACCGGAGUGGACGAACCUCUGGUGUUCGGGUUGUGUCGCCAGACGCAUUGCCCGGUAGCUAAGUUCGGAAUCGAUAACCGCUGAAAGCAUCUAAGCGGGAAGCGAGCCCUGAGAUGAGUCUUCCCUGAUACUUUAAGUAUCCUAAAGGGUUGUCGGAGACUACGACGUUGAUAGGUCAGGUGUGUAAGUGCUGUGAGGCAUUGAGCUAACUGAUACUAAUUGCCCGUGAGGCUUAACCAU
rnacentral:rRNA from 1 species